UAGAACUCGCACAGGUUUGAAACUAUUUUCUAUUUUUCCAACAUUGAGAGCAAUUUUCAAUAAUGGCACCCCAUCGAACAGGUAAGAUUUGAUUGGUUUGAUUAUUUUUGUUUGCAUUUUAAUUGAAGUAAGGUUUUUAAAUUGAUUUAAGUUUUUUUUUAAUUAAUUUGAUGUCAGAUUCUUCAAGCAAUCCCCAAAAACAAAAUAGACAACAAAGACCUCCUCUUGCACAAGCAACAAAAGAAAACCCUAUAAACACUGCACAAGAGAAACAAGAAAACCCUCAAAAUCCUCAAAAUGUUGCUCCUCAACAACCACUGCCACCCCGAAACCCUCCACGUCCUCCAUUAAAUCAUGUAGAUGCCACACAAGAGGAUAUCAUCAAUCGCCUUACACAAAAUAGUGCCCAAAUUUCUAUAUUGGUGAAUAGGUUGAGGUCCUCUAGACUUGAGCACCACUCAACCCUCGCCAGAACACUAGAAACAAUGGCUAAUAGUACAAAUGAGGUAUCUAGGGAGGUUACGAAAUGGGGUUCAUGGAGGGAUAGAUGUUGAACAUUUUAGGCGGAUGGGUUGUCAUAUGAUCAAGUGAAAAAAAAGGACAUAGGUAAAGCUGACAUAUGUGCUCUUUUCACCAAUCAUAUUACCAGUAAUAACCUAGAACUAAAUAUGACUCUGUUUCCUAUACAUUGGUGUGUUCAUGCUAGGGUGAAAUAAGAUUUUUGGGAUAGGUGGUAUAUGGUCUUUGACCAACCACCUUGUAAUAACUGGGAAGUGCCUCUAUAUUUUUUGAGAAAGUUGUAUUGUGAUUUUAUCCUCGGUGAGAAGCCGAAUUACUUUGACAUCCAGCAAUUUCAAGGUAGAGGGAGAGGCUCUGCACAAGAUAGACCUAGGGCCCAUAGGGUGGUAGAGCCACAACAUAGGAGGCGUACAACUCCUAAACCCAUGGUUCAUGUCACUGUCCCUAUAUCCUUGAAAGAGUCUAUGGAAUUACAGACUCUUCAGGAAGCUGCAUCAUUGACUGAUGUCAUUGUUCAACAUGGCACACAGUUGGUUGGAGCAGAGGAUGUACUAGCAGCUGUGCCACCUCCUUCAUUAGGGGCACCUCCUUCAUUAGUAGCUCCUCCUUCCUCAGCAGCACCUCCUUCAUCAGCAACACCUCAUGCAUCAUUUGGCACGAGCCAAGCCAUUCAACAUAUGUGCCCCACCCGCUAGGGUGUAUGUUCUAGUGUAGACAUUGACGCAGACGAGGAUGGUUCGACAUCUCAUUCAUGUACAUGUUGCGGGAGUAGAUGCCAUGCUUCCACUGCAGAGGAUGUGGCCCUCACCGAUGAACUGAUCAAUGUUGUACCCUCUCUAUCAGACAUAGGUGCAUUUAAUUAUGUUUAUGACAUGUUAUCAAUUAAGUGACUAAAUCUUAUAAAAAGAAAUGAAUAUUUAUUUUUAAAACAAUUUAAAGUGACAUAUAAAUAAAAUGCAUUGCAGGGUGCAGCAGGUGGUGGCAGUACACCACAUACUUUUCAGUCGACUCCACGAUCAUGAGUAGUUUCACCACCAGAGGUAAAGAUUUGUAAAUUUGUUAAAAAUAUAAUAAUACAUUGGUUUCAAAAUAUCUUUUGUUAAUUACAUGUAUCAUUAGUUGGUAUUUUAUAGGGCUUAUCAGUGGCUAAGAUGUCCCAACUUGAUGAUAUCAUGCUUUCGGCCAUUGACUUUGGCCAAGAUAGCUAUGCAGUACCAUUUAGAUUUAUAUAUUUUUUACUUAAGUGAUAUAUUAAAUACAUGCUCUUUUCCCCUAUGUUAAUUUUUUUCCGUUAGUUUAUCCCACUUGCCUCGAGGAUAUCUCGUGUGAGAAAGCCAUCCUCUAGCACUCUGAGGAAGAAAACAAUAUCCUCUCGGACACCCAAAUGACGGAAGGUAAUUCAGUACAAUUUAAAUUCAUUCGUUGAAAUGUAUUAUGAUUAAACAUGUAUAUGUAGAUAUUGAUAAAUGCACUUAAUUUAUUUGUUCUAUAUAUAGAAACAUAUGGGGUUUAUAGAAUUAAUGAAUGCACCUAAUGUCGAUGAGGUUCAGUAGAUAGAAGAGGUGAUAUCUUCAUAUUCACUUUGGAUUUCAUUCUUGCUUGUUCGAAAUAACUAAAUCAUUUUAUGUCUAUAUCAUAUGUUAUCAUUUUUCAUAGAGGAAAUAGUAAUAGUUGCAUCAGAUUCGACUAGGCCUCCUAAGGUUACAGGAGAACUAUAUGAGGUUUCGGUGUGCAUUUGUUCUACAUAUGUUAAAAAUAUUUGUUUUAUCUAGUUUGUCAACAACUUUGGGUUAUUAACUUGUAUGAUUGUCUUUAACCUAUUGCAAGCCCCUUCCAAACUUCCUACUGUUAUUCUACAAUUCCAUUUCAGUAGAAGUCCUACACGUAUAUUAUAGGAUCCAACACAACCAAGGGAAAAGGUAUGUCUAUCUUAGAUCAAAUCCUUUUCACUAAGUGCACAAUGGAGUUGAAACCGUCUAGUUAACUCAUUUUGGAUCACUUACCAUGUAUAUAGGAAAUGGUACUGAUUCAUCUGUGACUUUGCCUUCUACGACCACAACACAUCCAUCUAAGGCUUCGUUACAACCUCCUUCAGGACAUCCCAUGAAUCCUCAGUCUCACCCAAUUGUAGAAGACAGAGAUGAGCCACCUACAGAGCCACGUACUGCUUCGAAGAGGCUCAAUUUUGAUGAUCUACCACAGUCAUAGAUACUGAUAGAGACAUAUAGUUAUAGUUGUGGUCAUUGAAGGACCAACUUUUUUAUAUAUUCAACAUUUGUAUAUGUAUAUAUCAACUUUGAUAGACAUGGCACAUGCCACAUUUUUGUAACUAUUAUUGAUUUGGCAUCUAUAUU